UACGGAGGGGGCUAGCGUUGUUCGGAAUUACUGGGCGUAAAGCGCGCGUAGGCGGACUUCUAAGUCGGGGGUGAAAUCCCGGGGCUCAACCCCGGAACUGCCUUCGAUACUGGGAGUCUGGAGUUCGAGAGAGGUGAGUGGAAUUCCGAGUGUAGAGGUGAAAUUCGUAGAUAUUCGGAGGAACACCAGUGGCGAAGGCGGCUCACUGGCUCGAUACUGACGCUGAGGUGCGAAAGCGUGGGGAGCAAACAGG
rnacentral:rRNA from 1 species